rnacentral:rRNA from 1 species
GACGAACGCUGGCGGCGUGCUUAACACAUGCAAGUCGAACGGAAAGGCCCUGCUUUUGUGGGGUGCUCGAGUGGCGAACGGGUGAGUAACACGUGAGUAACCUGCCCUUGACUUUGGGAUAACUUCAGGAAACUGGGGCUAAUACCGGAUAGGAGCUCCUGCUGCAUGGUGGGGGUUGGAAAGUUUCGGCGGUUGGGGAUGGACUCGCGGCUUAUCAGCUUGUUGGUGGGGUAGUGGCUUACCAAGGCUUUGACGGGUAGCCGGCCUGAGAGGGUGACCGGCCACAUUGGGACUGAGAGACGGCCCAGACUCCUACGGGAGGCAGUAGUGGGGAGUCUUGCACAAUGGGCGGAAGCCUGAUGCAGCAACGCCGCGUUCGGGAAGACGGCCUUCGGGUUGUAAACCGCUUUCGCCUGUGACGAAGCGUGAGUGACGGUAAUGGGUAAAGAAGCACCGGCUAACUACGUG